GACGAACGCUGGCGGCGUGCUUAACACAUGCAAGUCGAACGGAAAGGCCCUGCUCUUGUGGGGUGCUCGAGUGGCGAACGGGUGAGUAACACGUGAGUAACCUGCCCUUGACUUUGGGAUAACUUCAGGAAACUGGGGCUCAUACCGGAUAGGAGCUCCUGCUGCAUGGUGGGGGUUGGAAAGUUUCGGCGGUUGGGGAUGGACUCGCGGCUUAUCAGCUUGUUGGUGGGGUAGUGGCUUACCAAGGCUUUGACGGGUAGCCGGCCUGAGAGGGUGACCGGCCACAUUGGGACUGAGAUACGGCCCAGACUCCUACGGGAGGCAGCAGUGGGGAAUAUUGCACAAUGGGCGGAAGCCUGAUGCAGCAACGCCGCGUGCGGGAUGACGGCCUUCGGGUUGUAAACCGCUUUCGCCUGUGACGAAGCGUGAGUGACGGUAAUGGGUAAAGAAGCACCGGCUAACUACGUG
rnacentral:rRNA from 1 species